UCUAGACCUAGCUGCUGUCGAAGUUCCAUCUACAAUGGAUAAUCCUUCGGUCUUAGUGUAUACGAGUCGUUGAAGGAUCAAUACCAAACUUCUUGAUAAAACAAGAAGUUUGGUAUUGAUCUGUUUGAUUCAGUAGUGGUUUAUUCGCAUAAGCAUCUUUCAUUUUCAUUUCUUUUAUUCAACUUAAGAAAACAAAACGUGUUGGUUAGUUCAUGAUCGAAUAUCGUAGUUUCUUCUGUACCAAUCUGUAAUUUAUGUACUACGUUCCUCAAAAUCAUUUGAUUUUUUCCUAAAAGAAUUUUUCUUAUUUUACAGGAUUGGCAUUUUAUGUACAAUAUCUCUAUCUCAGUAUGAAGGAAAGUGAAAGUAAUAAAGACUAAAUACAAAAAUAAUGAAUGGUGAAAAUUGAAUCCUUUUGAGAGAUAGGAGGGGCGGAUGUAGCCAAGUGGAUCAAGGCAGUGGAUUGUGAAUCCACCAUGCGCG
rnacentral:misc_RNA from 1 species